UACGAAGGGUGCAAGCGUUACUCGGAAUUACUGGGCGUAAAGCGUGCGUAGGCGGUUUGUUAAGUCCGUUGUGAAAGCCCUGGGCUCAACCUGGGAAUUGCAGUGGAUACUGGCGAGCUAGAGUGCGGUAGAGGAUGGUGGAAUUCCCGGUGUAGCGGUGAAAUGCGUAGAGAUCGGGAGGAACACCCGUGGCGAAGGCGGCAUCCUGGACCGACACUGACACUGAGGAGCGAAAGCCAGGGGAGCAAACGGG
rnacentral:rRNA from 1 species